CCCUUAGAUGUCCUGGGCCGCACGCGUGCUACACUGAUACGUGCAACAAGUGAUAUUCCUGGUCCGGAAGGAUUCGGGUAAUCUUCUUAAUGCGCAUCGUGCUAGGGAUAGAUCUUUGAAAUUAUGGAUCUUGAACGAGGAAUUCCUAGUAAGCAUAAGUCAUCAGCUUGUGCUGAUUACGUCCCUGCCCUUUGUACACACCGCCCGUCGCUGCUACCGAUUUUGAGUGGUCCGGUGAACCUUCUGGACUGAGAUUAGGCUCGACCUAGUUUUGGGAAGUUAAGUAAACCUUAUCACUUAGAGGAAGCAGAAGUCGUAACA
rnacentral:rRNA from 1 species